CUGUGCCCACAGAGGCCAAAAGAGAACAUCAGAUCUCCCUGGAACGGGGAUUACAGAUAUUUGUGAGUGAAAGGAGCAAACCGGAUCCACUGGAAGUGCAGUAGGCGCACUUAACUUCCCAGCUUUCAUUCAGCCUCCCCAAGGAGCCCUCACCAGUCCCAGCCGACCCUGCCCCUCUCCACCUCCAUUUUGGUAAGGAACGUCUUAGGCUUGGGGAUGAUCCGGGAGGAAUUCUAGGGCUCAGAAGGCGGAGCCUUACGUGUCGUCAGGGAAACACAGCUAUGCCCGGUGGAGAAGUACAAUUCCUGUCUAGAACUACAACUCCGGUCCACCCCUGCGCUCCCGGGUCCUCUAGAUGGUGGCCCUCAAGAAAAAAGCCGGAGCAGGCAGCCACUAGGGGAGCAUACAGGGCCCACCGCGUUAUUCAGCUGUUCCAGUCAAGUUCUCAGAGAAGCAGCAGGCUUUUCAGUACCUGUAUGUGAGACAGCACAGAGUUCGCCAAGACACCCAGUCCACGUGGCCCGCCAAUAGGACCCUUUUUAUCCUCAAUGUGCCCCCGUACUGCACGAAGAGUGGAUCAGUGACUACAGAGAUUCAGUGCUCGCCCCUGAGGCCCUGAGGGUGGAAGUGGACACUUUCAUGGAGGCCUACGACAAGAAGAUAGCUGAGACCUAGCACAGCUGCGCAAGAAGUUCGAGGAGGACAAGCAGAGGAUUGAACUGAUGCGUGCCCAACGCAAAUUCCGACCCUACUGAGCUGUUCUGGAUGUGGAGAGCUGGCGUGGAGAACACAAAGACCGGCAGGCCUGCUGCCUUGGGGACUGUGCUUAGGGGAGCAGAUGCCAGGCCAAGAAGCUGCUGCGUCCCACAGCUCCAGCUCUUCACCCACGCAGGCUGGAAAUCAGGACGAGAGGAGGAUUUGGUCUUGAGGAGCUGCCCCUGCCUCUUUGGGCCUGGGAGACACUCCUGGGAAAUGUGACUGCUCUCUGCUCUGAACCUGUUACCCUCCACGAAUCCCUGCUGACAACAGAGCCAUUCAGAAGGCAGGAAAGAGGGAGGAAGAUUUUAUUUCCACAGAGACCGGUGAUAAGCACAAGCUGCAGAGACCCAAACGCAGCCCUGCUCCCUCAGCAGCACCAGCUUAGUAGAGCUCACCAACCGCAAGCCCCAGACCACUGUGCCCUUCCUGAA